rnacentral:rRNA from 1 species
GUACACACCGCCCRUCKCAUCAAUCGAUUGGAUAAUUCGGUGAAUGAUUCGGAUUGAGUUGUUAUUAGAAAUAAUUUCAAUUUGAGAAGUCUUGUAAACCCRAUUAUCUAGAGAAUGGUCAAGUCGUAACAUGGUAUCUGUAGGUGAACCUGCRGAAGGAUCA